UCAAGCUACAAAGAGCGCAAGGGGAAUGCCUUGGCACUGGGAGCCGACGAAGGACGUAGCGAUCUACGAUAAGCCACGGUGAGCCGAAAGCAGGCAUCGACCCGUGGAUUUCCGAAUGGGGCAACCUGGCUGAAUAGAACUCAGUCAACAUACGGUGAAUAAAAUAGUCGUAUGUAGGGAACCGCCUGAACUGAAACAUCUAAGUAGGGCGAGGAAAAGAAAUCAACCGAGAUUCCGCAAGUAGUGGCGAGCGAACGCGGAAGAGGCCAAACCGAGAGUAGUAAUACUUUCGGGGUUCGGACAGCGGACGGUAUGCUGAAGGUUAGCAGAAGGACAUGGGACGGUCCACCAAAGAGAGUGAAAGUCUCGUAUGCGAAAACUGAAAGCAGCCAGCUGAAUCCAGAGUACCGCCGGACACGUGAAACCCGGUGGGAAUAUGGGGGGACCAUCCUCCAAGCCUAAAUACUACCCAGUGACCGAUAGCGUAUAGUACUGUGAAGGAAAGGUGAAAAGAACCCCGGGAGGGGAGUGAAAAGAACCUGAAACCUUGUGCUUACAAGCACACAAAGCACGUCAACGUGUGAUGUGGUACCUUUUGUAGAAUGGUCCGGCGAGUGAAUGUAACUGGCGAGGUUAAGUUCUUAAGGAACGGAGCCGAAGCGAAAGCGAGUCUGAAUAGGGCGUCUUAGUCAGUUGUAUUCGACCCGAAACCGGGUGACCUAUCCAUGUCCAGGAUGAAGUUAAGGUAAAACUUGAUGGAGGUCCGAACCCACGGUCGUUGAAAUGCCCGGGGAUGAGAUGUGGAUAGCGGAGAAAUUCCAAUCGAACCCGGAUAUAGCUGGUUCUCUCCGAAAUAGCUUUAGGGCUAGCCUCGACUGAACAUUACCGGAGGUAGAGCACUGAAUGGGCUAGGGGCCGAGAGGUUACUGAACCCUAUCAAACUUCAAAUGCCGGAAAAUGAUAGUCGGGAGUCAGACUGCGUGAGAUAAGUUUCGUAGUCGAAAGGGAAACAGCCCAGACCCACAGCUAAGGUCCCAAAGUACGGUUAAGUGGAAAAGGAUGUGGAGUUGCACAGACAACCAGGAUGUUGGCUUAGAAGCAGCCACUCAUUAAAAGAGUGCGUAAUAGCUCACUGGUCGAGUGACUCUGCGCCGAAAAUUUAACGGGGCUAAAUCGUACACCGAAGCUUGGGAAUAUCAGUUAUUCUUCAUGGACUUGCUAAGGUAAGACACCAUGGCACGGAGUGCCAUCAAAUUGUCCAGAAGGAUAAAGCGAGCUUGUGAAGAAUAACUGAUAUUGGUAGGAGAGCGUUGAAUGCGGGGUGAAGUCAGAGCGAAAGCGCUGGUGGACUGCAUUGAAGUGAGAAUGCCGGAAUGAGUAGCGAGAUUUAUGUGAGAAUCAUAAAGGCCGAAAGACUAAGGUUUCAGAAGGAAGGUUCGUCCGCUUCUGGUUAGCCGGGAGCUAAGGUGAGGCCGAAAGGCGUAGCCGAUGCACAUACGGUGGAGAUUCCGUAGCCGUCGAAAUAUUUAAGCAAAGGGACACUUAUGAAGGACAUGACCCGGGCGAUGGUAGCCCCGGGCGUAAGGGACUGAAAACAAGUAGGGAAGCAUGUUUGGAUUAAGGCGAGAAAAGCUUUGUGUAUAUAUCAGACGUCCGUACCGCAAACCGACACAGGUAGUCAGGAAGAGGAUUCUAAGGCCAACGGGAGAAGGGUAGUUAAGGAACUCGGCAAAUUGACCCCGUAACUUCGGAAUAAGGGGUGCUCACGAGAGUGAGCCGCAGUGAAUAGGUCCAGGCGACUGUUUAUCAAAAACACAGCUCUCUGCUAAAUCGAAAGAUGACGUAUAGGGGGUGACACCUGCCCGGUGCUGGAAGGUUAAGAGGAGGAGUGCAAGCUCCGAAUUGAAGCCCCAGUAAACGGCGGCCGUAACUAUAACGGUCCUAAGGUAGCGAAAUUCCUUGUCGGGUAAGUUCCGACCCGCACGAAUGGUGUAACGAUCUGGACACUGUCUCAACUACCCACCCGGCGAAAUUGUAGUACCGGUGAAGAUGCCGGUUACCCGCGGCAAGACGGAAAGACCCCAUGGAGCUUUACUGUAACUUGAUAUUGGGUCUUGGUAUUCUAUGUACAGGAUAGGCGGGAGACUAUGAAACAUACACGCCAGUGUAUGCGGAGUCACCCUUGGGAUACCGCUCUUAGAGUACUGAGAUUCUAACCUGCGGCCGUGAAUCCGGUCGGGGGACAUUGUCAGGUGGGCAGUUUGACUGGGGCGGUCGCCUCCUAAAAGGUAACGGAGGCGCUCAAAGGUUAGCUCAGCACGGUCGGAAACCGUGCCUCUGAGUGCAAACGCAAAAGCUAGCCUAACUGCGAGGCUGACGGGCCGAGCAGUAACGAAAGUUGGAGUUAGUGAUCCGGCGGUAUGUGAAUGGAAAUGCCGUCGCUCAACGGAUAAAAGCUACCCUGGGGAUAACAGGCUGAUCUCCCCCAAGAGUCCACAUCGACGGGGAGGUUUGGCACCUCGAUGUCGGCUCAUCACAUCCUGGGGCUGAAUUCGGUCCCAAGGGUUCGGCUGUUCGCCGAUUAAAGUGGUACGCGAGCUGGGUUCAGAACGUCGUGAGACAGUUCGGUCCCUAUCUGUCGUGGGCGCAGGAUAUUUGAGGAGUGCUGUCCUUAGUACGAGAGGACCGGGAUGGACGCACCUCUGGUGCACCAGUUGUCACGCCAGUGGCACAGCUGGGCAGCUAUGUGCGGAACGGAUAAACGCUGAAAGCAUCUAAGCGUGAAGCCGCCUCCAAGAUAAGAUAUCCCAUAGCAUAAGCUAGUAAGACCCCUCAUGGACUAAGAGGUUGAUAGGCUGCAUGUGUAAGCGUGGUGACACGUUUAGCUUGGCAGUACUAAUAGGUCGAGGGCUUGACUU
rnacentral:rRNA from 1 species